GUCCACGCCGUAAACGAUGUCUACUAGCCGUUGGGGUCCUUGAGGCCUUAGUGGCGCAGCUAACGCACUAAGUAGACCGCCUGGGGAGUACGGUCGCAAGAUUAAAACUCAAAUGAAUUGACGGGGGCCCCGCACAAGCGGUGGAGCAUGUGGUUUAAUUCGACGCAACGCGAAGAACCUUACCAGGUCUUGACAUCUAGAGAACUUUCCAGAAAUGGAUUGGUGCCUUCGGGAACUCUAAGACAGGUGCUGCAUGGCUGUCGU
rnacentral:rRNA from 1 species